AUUGAACGCUGGCGGCAUGCUUUACACAUGCAAGUCGAACGGCAGCGCGGGCUUCGGCCUGGCGGCGAGUGGCGAACGGGUGAGUAAUGCAUUGGAACGUGCCCAGUAGUGGGGGAUAGCCCGGCGAAAGCCGGAUUAAUACCGCAUACGACCUGAGGGUGAAAGCGGGGGACCGAAAGGCCUCGCGCUAUUGGAGCGGCCGAUGUCGGAUUAGCUAGUUGGUGGGGUAAAGGCUUACCAAGGCGACGAUCCGUAGCUGGUCUGAGAGGACGACCAGCCGCACUGGGACUGAGACACGGCCCAGACUCCUACGGGAGGCAGCAGUGGGGAAUUUUGGACAAUGGGGGCAACCCUGAUCCAGCCAUGCCGCGUGCGGGAAGAAGGCCUUCGGGUUGUAAACCGCUUUUGUUCGGGAAGAAAUCCUCUGGGCUAAUACCCCGGGGGGAUGACGGUACCGGAAGAAUAAGCACCGGCUAACUACGUG
rnacentral:rRNA from 1 species